rnacentral:rRNA from 1 species
UGGGGAAUAUUGCACAAUGGGCGCAAGCCUGAUGCAGCCAUGCCGCGUGUGUGAAGAAGGCCUUCGGGUUGUAAAGCACUUUCAGCGGGGAGGAAGGCGAUAAGGUUAAUAACCUCAUCGAUUGACGUUACCCGCAGAAGAAGCACCGGCUAACUCCGUGCCAGCAGCCGCGGUAAUACGGAGGGUGCAAGCGUUAAUCGGAAUUACUGGGCGUAAAGCGCACGCAGGCGGUCUGUCAAGUCGGAUGUGAAAUCCCCGGGCUCAACCUGGGAACUGCAUUCGAAACUGGCAGGCUAGAGUCUUGUAGAGGGGGGUAGAAGUCCAGGUGUAGCGAUGAAAUGCGUAGAGAUCUGGAGGAAUACCGGUGGCGAAGGCGGCCCCCUGGACAAAGACUGACGCUCAGGUGCGAAAGCGUGGGGAGCAAACAGG